GGUAGUGAUAUUGAUUGAAGAUAUCUAUCCCGAUAAGGGUGAAGUUUCCAUGAUAAGCCAGCAAAGGGUAUUUCUACACCUCCAAGCUUUUCAGCAUUCGUAGAUGAACAUUCGUAGCAUCGACGUGAAUUAAACAGUUAUAGUAAGAAACAUGAAAGUGCACGAAUUUUUAAUAAUCUUGUUCACGAUCGAACUCGUUGCCUUACAACCGGGGGCAGGAGCGCUCAAGUGCUAUAGUUGCGAAGGCAAUUCAUGUAAGGAACAGAAACUUACCUCGGAAACGUGCAGCAGCAGUCCUUCAAAAACGACUACAAUCAAUCCUACAGACACGACUACAACCAAUCC
rnacentral:lncRNA from 1 species